GACGAACGCUGGCGGCGUGCUUAACACAUGCAAGUCGAACGAAGAGCGAUGGAAGCUUGCUUCUAUCAAUCUUAGUGGCGAACGGGUGAGUAACGCGUAAUCAACCUGCCCUUCAGAGGGGGACAACAGUUGGAAACGACUGCUAAUACCGCAUACGAUCCAAUCUCGGCAUCGGGACUGGAUGAAAGGUGGCCUCUAUUUAUAAGCUAUCACUGAAGGAGGGGAUUGCGUCUGAUUAGCUAGUUGGGGGGGUAACGGCCCACCAAGGCGAUGAUCAGUAGCCGGUCGGGAGGGAGGAACGGCCAAGUGGGGAAGAAAACACGCCCAGAACCGCGGGGGGGGGCGGCGGGGGGGAAUCCUCCGGAAGGGAGAAAAGUCUGACGGGGCAACGCCGGGGGGGGGAGGGCGGCUUUGGGUUUGAAAAGAUUUUUUAAGCGGGAGAAAUGGUUUUUGUGAGAAUAGCGGGAGGUUUUGAGGGUACCGAAAAAGAAAGCCACGGCAAACUACGGG
rnacentral:rRNA from 1 species